UACAGAGGGUGCGAGCGUUGUCCGGAAUCACUGGGCGUAAAGGGCGCGUAGGUGGCGGCCCAAGUCCGUGGUGAAAGCUCGCCGCUUAACGGCGAGUCGGCCACGGAGACUGGGUGGCUCGAGCACUGUAGGGGCAGAUGGAAUUCCGGGUGUAGCGGUGGAAUGCGUAGAGAUCCGGAAGAACACCAGUGGCGAAGGCGGUCUGCUGGGCAGUUGCUGACACUGAGGCGCGACAGCGUGGGGAGCAAACGGG
rnacentral:rRNA from 1 species